GACUUACUUCCACAAGAAACCAAGGCAAAAAGGAGACGCUUGCAUUUGUGUUCGUUUCACUUGGAAUGCCAUGCCAUGAGACAGGAAUUUAGGACUACAGGGGCUGUGGGUUCGUCUUUGUGUGUACCUUGGUUUGGCCUGAGUUUUCUAGAUAUUAAUCCCCACUCCCAACCUAUCAUAUUACAAAAUUAUGAACAAAUUAUUUUAACUCUGUACAUCUGUGUUUAUAUUGUUUCCCACUGCUAUGCCAUGCACACACACAUGUAUGUGUCUCUGUGUAUAGAGUACUCAUGUUAACUGGAGCACAGGCUCUUCCAAACAGGAACACAGCAGACUAUUCAAACUGGGGGCUCCAAAGUUGCCACUUAAAGUGCUCCUUGUUUUAUUGACUGUUUGUCGUUCUGAAGUGGUUACUGUUCAGUUCAACUGAGCUAACUUGAAAUGUAUUUUCUGAUAGCAAGCACACAUGUCCUUUUUCUCCUAAAAUGUCAAGCUGCUGAGCAGCAGCUGCCAUGUUGGUGAAUGGCGUGAUGGAGCUUGACAGGCCUGUGGUGUAUUGUGACUUCACCUGACCACUACAUGUGAGAACUUAGAAAUAAAUAUGUGUCACAGUAGUAUUUCUUUUUAAAAAGCACCGAAUGGUUUUGAUGAUUUCGUCCUUGUACUGAACAUCAAAGUUUCAUCUCUGUUGUUUUAACAUACACUAAAGCAUUUGAAAAACUCAUAACAGCAAUGAGAGUAUAAUUAUAUCAGCUAGGGGCCAGUAAAUGCUCCCAGUUCCCCAGAGCAGCAUUUGUGUGUAAAAAAUCUUGCUAUGACUGAGCAGACUACAAAUUGGCAAAGUGUUCCAAUGUGGAAUGCAAAGAAAGUUCUAUGCCCCAUCCCAUGGGAAGGGAGUGAGUGAGCAGCUGCGUGGGACUCAGUUGCUGGCUGGGGUUAAAUCACGACGGCACUCAAAUCUGCAGUGCCAGAAGGGAGAAGAGCUUGUGCCGGUUGACAGGAACUGGACCGCUGGAUGUCUGGCAGCUACUGUUCCACCAACACCCAAGCUCAUCACCUGCAUGAUCCUCUCAUCAGAAAAAUACCCCAGAAGUCAGCAUCAGGAAAUCCAUCACACAGUGAGCCCUGGAGAAGUUAGCUGUUGGUGUACUGCCGAGCACUGCUGCCGUCUAGUGAGUCAGAGUUAAUAAAAUAAGGUGGUAAACCAACACUGGACUUACAAAGAGCUUCCCCCACUAAUGGGAGUUACCCAGGGUCCCAGAGAUGCUCAUUAUGUGUUGUUUAUGCCCAGUAGUAAAGUCUUGUAUUGCCUCAGUAGUGCUAGCUGAAAUGGUGCUCUGUGAUAAUAGAAUAAAAGUUGUCAAGGAGUUUUGUUGCCUGUACUUACGUAUCUCUGGGUUGUAUUCUUUAAUCUCUCUCCCCUCUCUCUCCCAUACCAGUGUUAUUUAUAGGAGCAAUUCUUCACUCAGCUGAAAAUAAAGGAAACCUUGAAAACACCUCAGGACAGGCUGAUUAUGAAUAAAUAGGGAUGUUAGCAUAGCAGGCAAAAAAACUCCCCAGUGUAAAUCCACUUAUUUCAGCCACACCA